UUGCAGUGAUGACGAUCUUAGGACACCUUUGGAUUAACCAUGAAAAAAAAAAACAUUCUGAGCAAC